UACAUGGGGUGCAAACGUUGCUCGGAAUUAUUGGGCGUAAAGCGCACGUAGGCGGUUCGUUAAGUCGGAUGUGAAAGCCCUCGGCUCAACUGAGGAAGUGCACCCGAAACUGGCGAGCUUGAGUACGAAAGAGGAUCGCGGAAUUCCCGGUGUAGAGGUGAAAUUCGUAGAUAUCGGGGAGGAACACCGGUGGCGAAGGCGGCUCACUGGCUCGUAUCUGACGCUCAGGCGCGAUAGCGUGGGGGAUCAAACAGG
rnacentral:rRNA from 1 species